UACGUAGGGUCCGAGCGUUGUCCGGAAUUACUGGGCGUAAAGAGCUCGUAGGUGGUUUGUCGCGUUGUUCGUGAAAACUCACAGCUUAACUGUGGGCGUGCGGGCGAUACGGGCAGACUUGAGUACUGCAGGGGAGACUGGAAUUCCUGGUGUAGCGGUGAAAUGCGCAGAUAUCAGGAGGAACACCGAUGGCGAAGGCAGGUCUCUGGGCCAUUCCUGACGCUGAGACGCGAAAGCUAGGGGAGCGAACAGG
rnacentral:rRNA from 1 species